rnacentral:lncRNA from 1 species
CCCUCUUCUGGCAUUCACCCUCCCCCAACACACACACCACCUUUCUGAGUCACAGUUGGCUGUGACAGCCAAGUCUCCCUAGCCUCAGGGUCAUCAAAGCCAAAGCCAGACCUGUAUACAGCCCAGUACACCCAAGUGCCCAAUGCUCUAUAUUCCUGCCCUCACAGGAAGUUCUGUCUCUUUUAAUCUUUACAAAAAUCAGUGAGGUGUUAACUGUUUUAUGUUAAAGACUGGUCAUCUUAAGCUCAGAGGACUGUGUUAUUUGCCCCCAGGUCACUGAGUUAGAAAGCAGUAAGGCCAAGAUUUAAACCAGAUCAGUCUAGUAUCAGAACAGGUAAUUGCCUUAUUGCCCUUAUAGCAUAGCCCCAACCUUGGGAAAGGAUCCUGGUGGUUUAAAUUAAUCCCAAGGAGUCAUUGACUCCUGGCUCUUCUACUGGGGGAGAUGCACAGUGAUCCUGAACAUUUCUAUAACCUUAACCACAUUCUAUAUGGUGAGAACUAAGGCAAGGUCACUACACUCUCCCUCAGAUAAGAUAAGUGAUGAAGCCUCCCUGACAGAGUUGUGAAAAUUUAACAGAGUUGUGAAAAUUAAGGAUUAGUACAGAUAAGGUUUGAGCGUAAGCCAGGUUAUCCAUGAAGGAGUGUAUAAAGGAUUCAAGAAACAAGUGGUGUUUUCCUUAAUCCAAAUGUUAAUCAACGAUAGUUGACAUUAUUUUGUUGCAUGCUGUUUGAAAUGCUUUGAUUAAAUGUGUAGUCUAUAUAUAAUAAAUGCUGACUAAUAAAAUUGAAUUUUUAUACCUGACCUCUUACCAAAAAAAAAAAAAAAGUUGAUUUCCAGCUUAUAAUGUCAUCACACCAUUCCUUUUAACCUAGAAAAAAA